rnacentral:rRNA from 1 species
UCGGACACGACUCGCUCGACGCCUCAUCGAAUUUCUUUACAUUCAUCGAUCAUCGUAAGGGAAAAUAAUGAUAAUACCUUACUAUGAGUGUCGUCCAAAUCUGGUGCCAGAAGACUCGGUAAGACCAGAGACGCAAACGUUAAUCAUCAUAAACAGGCGUAAAGGGUUUGUAGGCAGCUUUUAUAAAAUUGUCAAAGGUAAUUUAAUUGAAAGCUAGAAUCAAAAAGAGGUUAUAGUGUAUAACGCCUAGAGGAGGGCUGAUAUCCGUAGAUCCUAGGCAGAAUACUCAGGGCGAAGGCCACUCUCCACUAAUGAUUGACGCUGAGAAACGAAGGUUAGGGUAGGAAAUAGGAUUAGAUACCCCGGUACUCCUUUCUGUAAACGAUGAAUGGUAGUCAUUAGUUUAAUUAAAAUAACUAGAGGCGAAGUUAACACAAUAACCAUUCCGCCUUGUGAGUACUACUGCAAAGUAGAAAACAAAAAAAUUAGUCGGUCUCGAAGCAAACGGAGUGAAGCAUGUUAUUUAAUUCGAUUAAUCCGCA